GGAGUUAGCCGGUGCUUCUUCUGCGAGUAACGUCACAGAUGUAAGGUAUUAACUUACACCCUUUCCUCCUCGCUGAAAGUGCUUUACAACCCGAAGGCCUUCUUCACACACGCGGCAUGGCUGCAUCAGGGUUUCCCCCAUUGUGCAAUAUUCCCCACUGCUGCCUCCCGUAGGAGUCUGGGCCGUGUCUCAGUCCCAGUGUGGCUGAUCAUCCUCUCAGACCAGCUAGGGAUCGUCGCCUAGGUGAGCCUUUACCUCACCUACUAGCUAAUCCCACCUGGGCUUAUCCAUCAGCGCAAGGCCCGAAGGUCCCCUGCUUUCCCCCGUAGGGCGUAUGCGGUAUUAGCAGUCGUUUCCAACUGUUAUCCCCACAAAUGGGCAAAUUCCCAGGCAUUACUCACCCGUCCGCCGCUCGUCAUCUUCAAAAGCAAGCUUUUGAAAUGUUACCGCUCGACUUGCAUGUGUUAGGCCUGCCGCCAGCGUUCAAUCUGAACCAAGAUCAAAUUCUGA
rnacentral:rRNA from 1 species